AUAACAAAAUGUGGUUUAAACAGAUUUGAACAACAAUUUUAUUUGUUAUUGGUUUAGUGCAAUGUUCUUUUCCCGAGGAUUGCACAACACCUUUACCAGCUUUAGCUCAAUAUAUUAAUGCCAAGUGUUGGAAUACUUGGUACUUAUCUGCCUCUUCAUUGAAAUGCAACGAUUGCUGCGUAACAAGUAAAAUAACUCAAAUUGGACCUUCGAGACUUAAAGCCGUUGAUUUUAUUAAAAAACCAGGAAGUAGUAUUCUUCAUAUUGUAUCAUUGGAUUGUAAUAAUUACGGAGUACUUGGUUUAGCAAACAAUGAAUUGCAAUUUUGGGUUAGAAACACAAGUACAACAAUGGAUUCGGUGCCAGAUUUAAAACGUUGUAAAGAGACGCUUUUUAAUUAUAAUCCGAUACAUCUUGUAAUGGCGUUAAAAUUGUUUAAAAUUAUAAUCAAAUAAAAGUUAUUAGUUUAGUA